rnacentral:tRNA from 1 species
CCUGGGUUGGCUCAGUCGGAAGAGUGUGAGACUCUUGAUCUCAUGGUAGUGGGUUCUCAAGCCCCACAUCGGGGG